UCUAACUUGUUUCAGCCAUCUAUAUUUUUCACACUGGCACAGUGAUGCCCUCAAUACUUGCUGAGUUGAAAUAAGGAGGUCAGGAGGGGUGUGGGGAAGGGAGCAGAGGAACAUUCAACAUUUUUAGGCACCUGUUUAUUCUAAGCCGGGCACUUCACCAGUGUUUUAUCAUUAAUCUUCAAAGAGUCCUUCAGGAUGAUUAUUGUUAACCUAAGAGGCUGCCGUGUUAGAAUCCCAGAGCAUGGUGUCUCCAAAGCUACGUGAGUUCCACCGUGACUUCUGUACUGGCCAGCAAGUCUCCUGUCUUCUCACACAUGCCCUGUGCUCCUCGGCUGGGCUUCCCCGAGGCUGGAUUAGGCUGGGUCCUGCAGGACACGACUCUGAGUUCAGCCAGCCCCUCAAGAGGGGCCAUCACAGAGGCACCACCAAGGUGAACUAUCCCUACGGGCAGUGUGUGAAUUGGGGAAGAGUCUCCUCUACCUGUUGCUGGACUGCUGCCUGCCAGGACUUUCCUCUCUCCCACCUAGCAAAGACCAUUUGGAGCAACCAGCACUUGUGAAGUGGAAUAUACCUCUGGAUCUUGGACUACGCCCACCUUUCCUGAGGGGGACACUGUGAGGGCCAUCUCAGAAUGUCCUGGAGUCUGCUCCUCACUCACAGGCCAGCCUAAAGAGUCAAGGCGGCCAUGUGUAAGGUAAGGAAGAGCAUAUACAGGGAACCGUGAGUAAGCCGAUAAAUCAGCCAAAAAACAGAGCAGGAAGGACCGACUGGCACCGGCGAAUACGAACAAUAACCAGGCAGAAGUGCCAGCUGGAGCCUCCUUGUGGUGGGGCUGUGUAAUGAACUCAUGGAGAAGACUGUGGAUGGGACGUGGACAUGACUUCCAGGGUGUUGGUGCUCUAUGCAGUUCCUUAAAGAGGCAGAAUUUGCUAGGAUCGCUAAAGCUGUCCCUGGACCUCUGGGCCCAGCCCCGGGCGGCUAGCAUUAUCCUGAGAGUCAGGUACGAGGCAAUCUGGACAUUGUGACCUAGACUCAUGAUAUUCAGCCAGAAAAGGAACAUGGAGGCCCCCUCGUUCAACCCGCUCAUUUUACAGGUGAGAAAACUGAGGCCUGGAGAGGUGACAAAGUGAGUGUUUGGCAGAUCCUGGACUACAAUCAGGAAUUCCUGACUCCUGGGUCAGCCCCUCUCUCCACCCCUGUCUGCAGUCUUCACCCCUGCCUGGCCUCUCCUUCCACCUGCCAGCCCCACCAUCUUCUGUAGACCAGACAGGUGGAGU